GUCCUCUGACUCUCUUCGGUGACGGGUAUUCUUGGGUGGAUAAUACGGAUUACGUUGUUAUUGCUUAAGAAUACGCGUAGUCGAGGAGAGUACCAAGCGG
rnacentral:pre_miRNA from 10 species